UGUAUCUGAAGCCUGAAGAGGAUGAGAACCUCCGGGGGCAAGAGGUUCGACUCGAGCGAAGCGAGAGAACGUUGCGUCAGCAACGGCCCGCAGGGCGAGCCACGCAGUGGCGAGUCAUCCUCUCCUGGUGCCUG
rnacentral:sRNA from 3 species